rnacentral:rRNA from 1 species
UCGAUUUGGAGUUUGUUGCCUAGAGUGAUGGGCUCCGAAGCUAACGCGAUAAAUCGACCGCCUGGGGAGUACGGCCGCAAGGUUAAAACUCAAAUGAAUUGACGGGGGCCCGCACAAGCGGUGGAGCAUGUGGUUUAAUUCGAUGCAACGCGAAGAACCUUACCUGGUCUUGACAUCCACAGAAUCUUUCAGAGAUGAGGGAGUGCCUUCGGGAACUGUGAGACAGGUGCUGCAUGGCUGUCGUCAGCUCGUGUUGUGAAAUGUUGGGUUAAGUCCCGCAACGAGCGCAACCCUUAUCCUUUGUUGCCAGCGAUUAGGUCGGGAACUCAAAGGAGACUGCCGUUGAUAAAACGGAGGAAGGUGGGGACGACGUCAAGUCAUCAUGGCCCUUACGACCAGGGCUACACACGUGCUACAAUGGCGUAUACAAAGGGAAGCGAAGGUGCGAGCUGGAGCAGACCUCCUAAAGUACGUCUAAGUCCGGAUUGGAGUCUGCAACUCGACUCCAUGAAGUCGGAAUCGCUAGUAAUCGUGAAUCAGAAUGUCACGGUGAAUACGUUCCCGGGCCU